rnacentral:rRNA from 1 species
GCUUGUCUCAAAGAUUAAGCCAUGCAUGUCUCAGUAUAAACUUCUAUACGGUGAAACUGCGAAUGGCUCAUUAAAACAGUUAUAAUUUAUUUGAUGGUCGCUUACUACAUGGAUAACUGUGGUAAUUCUAGAGCUAAUACAUGCACAAAAUCCCGACUUACGAAGGGAUGUAUUUAUUAGAUACAAACCAACAUCGUGGUGAUUCAUAAUAACUUUGCGAAUCGUAUGCCUCACGGCGACGAUGAAUCAUUCAAAUUUCUGCCCUAUCAGCUUUGGAUGGUAGGGUAUUGGCCUACCAUGGCUUUAACGGGUAACGGAGAAUUAGGGUUCGAUUCCGGAGAGGGAGCCUGAGAAAUGGCUACCACAUCCAAGGAAGGCAGCAGG